rnacentral:rRNA from 1 species
CCUACGGGAGGCUGCAGUGGGGAAUAUUGCACAAUGGGCGCAAGCCUGAUGCAGCCAUGCCGCGUGUGUGAAGAAGGCCUUCGGGUUGUAAAGCACUUUCAGCGGGGAGGAAGGCGGUGAGGUUAAUAACCUCAUCGAUUGACGUUACCCGCAGAAGAAGCACCGGCUAACUCCGUGCCAGCAGCCGCGGUAAUACGGAGGGUGCAAGCGUUAAUCGGAAUUACUGGGCGUAAAGCGCACGCAGGCGGUCUGUCAAGUCGGAUGUGAAAUCCCCGGGCUCAACCUGGGAACGGCAUUCGAAACUGGCAGGCUAGAGUCUUGUAGAGGGGGGUAGAAUUCCAGGUGUAGCGGUGAAAUCCGUAGAGAUCUGGAGGAAUACCGGUGGCGAAGGCGGCCCCCUGGACAAAGACUGACGCUCAGGUGCGAAAGCGUGGGGAGCAAACAGGAUUAGAUACCCCGGUAGUC